rnacentral:rRNA from 1 species
CGAUACGAGUUUGAUCCUGGCUCAGAACGAACGCUGGCGGCAGGCUUAACACAUGCAAGUCGAACGCUCGUAGCAAUACGGGAGUGGCGGACGGGUGAGUAACGCGUGGGAACGUGCCCUGAGGUACGGAAUAACUGAGGGAAACUUCAGCUAAUACCGUAUGAGCCCCGAGAGGGGGAAAGAUUUAUCGCCUUGGGAGCGGCCCGCGUCGGAUUAGCUAGUUGGUGGGGUAACGGCCUACCAAGGCUUCGAUCCGUAGCUGGUCUGAGAGGACGAUCAGCCACACUGGGACUGAGACACGGCCCAGACUCCUACGGGAGGCAGCAGUGGGGAAUCUUGCGCAAUGGGGGCAACCCUGACGCAGCCAUGCCACGUGAACGAUGAAGGCCUUAGGGUUGUAAAGUUCUUUUACCCGUGACGAUGAUGACGGUAACGGGGGAAUAAGCUCCGGCUAACUUCGUG